UUGGCACCUCGAUGUCGGCUCACCGCAUCCUGGGGCUGAAGCAGGUCCCAAGGGUUGGUCUGUUCGCCCAUUAAAGCGGUACGCGAGCUGGGUUUAGAACGUCGUGAGACAGUUCGGUCCCUAUCCUUCGUGGGUGUUGGAUAUUUGAGGAGAGCUGCUCCUAGUACGAGAGGACCGGAGUGGACGAACCUCUAGUUUUCCGGUUGUGAUGCCAAUUGCAUUGCCGGGUAGCUACGUUCGGAAAGGAUAACCGCUGAAAGCAUCUAAGCGGGAAGCCAACUCCAAAAUUAGAUAUCCCCUCCUCCUUCGGGAGGACUGUAGACCCCUUGUAGACUACAAGGUUGAUAGGCCGGGUGUGUAAGCACAGCAAUGUGUUCAGCUAACCGGUACUAAUUGGUCGUGAGGCUUGACCUU
rnacentral:rRNA from 1 species